rnacentral:rRNA from 1 species
UACGUAGGGUGCAAGCGUUGUCCGGAAUUAUUGGGCGUAAAGAGCUCGUAGGCGGUCUGUUGCGUCGGCUGUGAAAACCCGGGGCUCAACUCCGGGCCUGCAGCCGAUACGGGCAGACUAGAGUUCGGCAGGGGAGACUGGAAUUCCUGGUGUAGCGGUGAAAUGCGCAGAUAUCAGGAGGAACACCGGUGGCGAAGGCGGGUCUCUGGGCCGAAAUUGACGCUGAGGAGCGAAAGCGUGGGGAGCGAACAGG